rnacentral:lncRNA from 1 species
GGAGGUUGGAGCCGUGCAUAGGAGGGGGGGCGAGGUCGGUGAUGGUAAGGGGUUUGGGUUGGGGUUUGAGAGAGGUGGAGUCGGAGAGGUUCUGGAUGGGGACAAGGUUGAGGUUCUCGAUGGUGGAGUUGUGGCCAUUGACGGAGGAGAUGUGAUCGGAAGAAGAAGAAGAAGAAGAAGAAGAAGAAGGGUCAUCUUGAGAGAGGAGUCGUUGGGAUUGGCUGGAGAGGAUGGCACAGGAGCUUUGCCAGUCGGCACGGGAGGAGCCGAUGGCGUUGGGGUAGGUGACGGGGUCGUAUCGAUAGACGGAUUGGAUACGGAGGCGGACGGCAGGUGUGGUGGAGGUGGAAGUGGAGGUGGAGGUGGGGAAGUGAG